rnacentral:lncRNA from 1 species
AUGGGCUAAACUUGUACUGGACAGCGUCGCAGGGGACGAGAUUCCUUGCGUGUCGCCUGUAUCCCCCGGGACGGCGUCAAAUCCUUCGUCACGUUGUCGGUGAUUCCGCUGAUGAAACGCCUCGUAAGCAGCUUCCACAUUCGGACCUCCUUGUUCAGAACAUAUGAUUGCGACUGCUGACGGAUGCAGAGAUCCCCAGUAUCGACUUCCCCUCACUAGGUCACCAUUCUGUGCAGCGCGAGGACGGUGUGCGCCGAGUCUCCUCGGAACACAGGCGUCAUCACUGGUCCUGGGCUGCAGAUGUUUGUCCGUCGAGGACUGGGAGCACCUAGAGCUUUCUUUCUCGCUGUUGCUGGUUUCCCCUUCCUUCACUGGUUGUAAAACGGGCAAAUUUUGCAUGGACGGUGACUCCUCCCCGUUCAGCUGGUGUCCGGACGGCCGAUGUGCCGGGCCAUUAUGAAAGUGACAGCUUUUUGCUGAGAAAGGGGAACUAUCCGGCUGAAGAAGAGCAGGCGAAACGGAGCCUAAUACAGAUUCAUGGGCUUCAGAUGCUGGAGACGGCAACUUGGAUGGAACAAAACCAUCUGAAACCCUGAUGCCACCUCUCACCUGUCUAGGCCCUUCUAGUCUUUUCGCUGCACUGACGCUAUCGUGUGGAUGAGAGGCCUCCACGAGGAUGCAGUCUUUCAGAAUUGAGUCUGGGACUCGCGCAGCCGGUGACUGAAGAAAUUGAGCCUGCCGCCUUGUUGAAAGCUCUUCAGCAAAACCCGGCUUUUUCCUGCCACGACAGCAAUCAGGAACAUCUGUCGGCCUAUCUCCGGAUAUGCGGGUGCCUGCCGUUCCUCCGGCUGCUCGCGGGGAGGAAGUAAUACCUUGGAGGAUCUGGUUCGCGCUACAUUUCUGGGCGCUGCUGGUGGGAGAAUGGUGAGGACACGAGCGAGUGAGAUUAUGACGAGUAGCGUGGUGCAUCAAGUCCGUGCGUUCGAUGGCCGCAGUUGAGCAGUUGGUUACCAGGGAGGUGUGAGUCGAAGGGACACCUGUGACAGGGUAACCAGUAAAACUGGCGGAGGCUCGACAAUGUGAAGAGGAGAGUAUGGUACUACAUGUCGGGCAAACAGUUUCUGAGUUUGUUGCGGAGGCUCUCCCCAGCAGCUUAUUUGUCCGUUGCGUGCUGUGGUGGACGCAGAGUAACUUCGUCAACAUGUGCAGGAGGUAAAGAACGAGACAUAUGUUCAGGGAAAGCGUCGCGACAAGGCAACACCGAGAUACGGUAGGUACAUCCAUGGCGACGGGCAAGUGGCGGUGCGCUUCAGCGUACGCAGCAGCUGCGGCAUCGGGGUAGAACAGGCUCUUCGUCCAUGCUGCUGCCGCGCAUAGGAACAAAAACGACACUCGAAUCAACCGCAACGCCAGCUGCGCGAUAUUCGACCUGACGUAACCACAGGACAGCAGCCAGUUGGAGUACUCCAUGUGUGAGGCACCUGUCGAAACCACGCUGGCUCCUAUUCUCCCUUCAUAUGAAUGAAACCAGACGAGAGGACAACAAUAUCUUCGCCCAAGUUUUUUAAAAAGAAGGAAUGUAUUGGCUAUGAAGCAGUUUUGCCGUCACAGCACAGAAUCCACGGACCGGACGCGAGAGAAUAACCAAGAAUCCUACAGGGCAAGACAUCGUUUCCGUCCAUGUGUGGGCGUGGCUGUAUCAAAACUACGUUUGUUCGGUGAGUAUACAUACUUUCGAUUACAGUGACCCACACAUGUGGCAAGCCGGAAGCUAUGCCGGCUGCUCUUGUCAACAACUUGAUUGCACCAUCGACACCGCUUAUAAAAUGCGGCCAGUCUAACGUGCGGCAGCGACAUGUCUUCCUCUUUGUUAGUGUGGACACCGAAUCCGGCGGAUUUCAUCUGCCCUUUCUCGGAGUCGUGGUGCCGUUGUGUUCCGCGUUUCGGACAAUCCGAUGAAUCGAGGAUUUGCUGAUCAAAAGGUGAUUCCUGGCGGAAAUCAACUUCCAUAUCUUCACCGCGGUGGUCCUUCCAUCCAGCAGUCGCCUGCCAAGAAGGUGAGAGACUAAGCUGCUGAACAGUAGCUGUUGAAGGGGGCUGUUCUCGCGAGUCCAGGUCGUGCUUUUCUCUCACCUCCUCCUGUUUGGCGCGAGCGACUUCAGAAGUGACAGCGGAAAUACGCUCCAGAGGCGUCAGCCCGGAUGGUUCCCUGGUAUCGUUCACUUUACAUAUGCUUGCGUCUGUGACCAUGGAUCUUUUCUCCUGUCCACGUCUGGCGGGGUCAACAACUAUCUGCGAGGCCUCACCACCAGGCUUUUUCUUUUCCCCCUUUUGACUGUGAACAACUGGAGACUGCGUCGUUGAGUGACUUGUAGAGAGUGGUCGUUCAGCCGAGUGGGCAAAGUGGUUGCUCAGUGGCUCUGACUUUCUCCAAGGCUUCCAACCACGCUGUGCUGGCUUAUCAAAGACGAGCAGCGGGC